GGGGGCGACUGGCUUCGACGGGGCCUUAGAGGGCUUGGAGUUGCGCGAAGAGGUUGUCGGCCACCUCUCUAAACUGCCGGCAAAACCAAAAUGCCGAUACUGGCAUGAGAAUGGCUGCCUAAUACGGGUAGCCACGUCCUCUCGGAUUCGCCCGCGGGUCCGGGAAGGACGUCACAACGCGGGCUGGUCGGCUAGUCGGCCGGGUGCGACGCCGGCGAGACCCCUUAGUCCCGGCUGGGUCGGUGCGUAGCCUGUCGGUCGGCGCCGCACGGACCGAGAUCAAACGAUCGACUAUUCGCGUAGACGCUCCAGGUCACAGGCAUCCGGACGUGGGUUCGAUUCCCACCGCCUCCACCA
rnacentral:tmRNA from 1 species